UUGGACGGCCUCUUGGUGCGUCUAUAAAAGGGACGCGGAGGCCGCGCAGAGGUCUCAUUGAAAACCAUGGAGAGAGACACACGGCUUAGCAGCCAGGAGCAGGAGGUGGUGCUGUGAGUGAGAAAGAUACUAGCCCAGGCAUCAGGAAGACCAACUCUUUCGGCAAGCCACUUCACCUUCCAGUUUGAUGAUCUCUAAAAUGAGUAUAAUGGGAGAAGAAGCACUGACGGAAGUGCUGCUCUUAGCGCUCUCACCCUGGCCACUGAGUGUCUUUGAAGCUCAAGGCAGAGGCCAGUGAUCCACAGUGGAGAAGUGAACAUUCCAUCUCAUUUGAUCUCCAGACAACUCACUGAAUUCACUUUUCUCAUCCACAUUUUUCACCAAGUAGCAUUGACGAGAGAGAGAGGCAGAGCUUGUGGCAAUGUGAGAUUUCAGAUCCCGGGCUGCAGAGGUCCUCCGUCUGCUUCCUUCCCCUGGGCCUGCUCAACAGCAGCACAAAGACCC